GCGUAACACAUGAGUCAUCUGCCCAGAAGUGGGGAAUAGCUCGGCGAAAGCCGGAUUAAUACCGCAUGUGGUCGUAAGACCAAAGCCGGGGCAACCUGGCGCUUUUGGAGGAGCUCGUGGCCUAUCAGCUAGUUGGUGAGGUAACGGCUUACCAAGGCAACGACGGGUAGCUGGUCUGAGAGGACGACCAGCCACACUGGAACUGAGAUACGGUCCAGACACCUACGGGUGGCAGCAGUCGAGAAUUUUUCUCAAUGGGGGAAACCCUGAAGGAGCGACGCCGCGUGGAGGAUGAAUGCUUUCGGGUUGUAAACUCCUGUCAUUUGGGAACAAGGCCUUACGUUAACUGCGUGGAGGAUUGAUAGUACCAGAAGAGGAAGAGACGGCUAACUCUGUGCCAGCAGCCGCGGUAAUACAGAGGUCUCGAGCGUUGUUCGGAUUCAUUGGGCGUAAAGGGCGCGUAGGCGGCGGGGUAAGUCUGGUGUGAAAUCUAGGAGCUCAACUCCUGAACUGCACUGGAUACUGCUCUGCUAGAGGACUGGAGAGGAGACUGGAAUUCACGGUGUAGCAGUGAAAUGC
rnacentral:rRNA from 1 species